GACGAACGCUGGCGGCGUGCUUAACACAUGCAAGUCGAACGGAAACCCCCUUCUUUUGUGGUCUGCUCGAGUGGCGAACGGGUGAGUAACACGUGAGUAACCUGCCCUUGACUUUCGUAUCACUUCAGGAAACUUGGGCUAAUACCGUAUCUGCUCUCCUCCUGCAUGCUCAGUGUUCGACAUUUCAGGCGGUUGGGGAUGAACUCGCGUCUUAUCAGCUGGCUGGUGGGGUAGUGGCUGACCAAGGCUUUGACGAGUAGCCGGCCUGAGAGGGGGAGCGGAAACAUUAGGACUGAGAUACGGCACAGACUAAUACGGGAGGCAGGGGUGGGGAGGAUGGCACAGUGGGAGGGAGGGAGAUGUAGCGACGCGGCGUGGGGGAUGACGGGAAGCGGGUUGGUAACCGAUGUCGCAUGAGAAGAAGAGUGAGUGACGGUAAUGGGUAAAGAAGCACCGGCUAACUACGUG
rnacentral:rRNA from 1 species